AAAAACUGCAUUUAUGAUGCACUUAAAGCCAAAUAGUUAUAAAGUCCAACCAAUAUUUUCAUACAAUAAAGGUCAAAUAAGAGUGAAGUGCAAAUUGUCCAGAAUCAAAAACUUGUUAUUUGAAUUUCAACAAUCAAACACACAAUUUGAUACCUAAAUCUACUUCAAAUGAGGUCAAAUUUGAAACAUUAUCUCCAAAUAUUAUAAAUAACAAACCCCACUAAUUAAUUUAUCAAACAAUAAUAAAUCUAACAAGCCCAUUUUGUAAUUAAGAAGAAGAAGAAGAAAGGAAUUUUUUCCUCCUAAAGAAAAUGUUGAUACUUUAUUUAUUUUAACUAAAUACCAUUUUAAAAAUUUAUUUUUUAUAACUACCUUUGAUUUUUAUAGUCAAAUAUAUAUUUAUGGUCACCUCCUACCCUUAAGCCAUAAAAUACAUUGUUCUCUCUCAUAAAAUAUGCUGCCAUAUCUUUCUCCACCCCCUCUCUUCAAUUGUAUGUUUUGUUGAUUAGAAAAACAAACUUUUGAGAAAUUCUUACAGAUUACUAGAUCGGGCUUUCCAUGGCCUUUCCGCCGUAACCGAUCUAUCUGUACCCUCCAUUUUUUUCUCUUUUUUUUUAAUUCACCAACCAAUAAUUCAAAUAAAAAUUAUGAACAUAUCAGUUCGUUCUAAAUUUUCUUCUUGUUCUUUCUUUCAAAUGGAUGUAAAAGUCCGUCCAUGUAUGAAAAUAGCAUAAGAAUACUCUAAGAAAGUUAGCUUAUUGUAGUACAAAAGUUUUU
rnacentral:lncRNA from 1 species